CAGUUAAAACUAGGAGUGAAUGCAAGGGUCAAAAGGAAACAAGCUAUAGUCCAAUUAGUGUUUCCACUCAACUUCAACCUUAUGAUCACCAAAGUGGGUUUAAUAAUUUUGCUCUGAGUUCAAUACGGAUUGGGACGCAAUUACGUCCUAUUUAUGGAAGGAAACAUGGCAAUAGAAAACAAUCUGCUUCUAUUAUGUGUUCUGCUGCUUUGAAUGCAAGAUGCUCUGCUUCAGGCCAAA
rnacentral:misc_RNA from 1 species